rnacentral:rRNA from 1 species
CCCUACGGGACGCAGCAGUGGGGAACAUUGGACAAUGGGGGAAACCCUGAUCCAGCGACGCCGCGUGAGUGAAGAAGUAUUUCGGUAUGUAAAGCUCUAUCAGCAGGGAAGAAAAUGACGGUACCUGACUAAGAAGCCCCGGCUAACUACGUGCCAGCAGCCGCGGUAAUACGUAGGGGGCAAGCGUUAUCCGGAUUUACUGGGUGUAAAGGGAGCGUAGGCGGUGCAGCAAGUCAGAAGUGAAAGCCCGGGGCUCAACUCCGGGACUGCUUUUGAAACUGUUGGACUAGAUUGCAGGAGAGGUA